UACGAAGGGGCUAGCGUUGUUCGGAAUUACUGGGCGUAAAGGGCGCGUAGGCGGCCUCGUCCGUCCGGCGUGAAAUGCCUGGGCUCAACCUAGGAAUUGCGCUCGAUACAGCGAGGCUAGAGUGUGGGAGAGGUUGGUGGAAUUCCCAGUGUAGAGGUGAAAUUCGUAGAUAUUGGGAAGAACACCGGUGGCGAAGGCGGCCAACUGGACCACCAACUGGACGCUGAGGCGCGAAAGCUAGGGAGCGAACAGG
rnacentral:rRNA from 1 species